AAUAGCCGCAUAGCCCCAAGGGUCUUUUCACCACCAAAGUUACAUUUUGAGUCUGUUCAUAUGCAAGGCAUGGCUUCAUCUAUCGCUUGGAUCGCAGUCUUUUCAAUUGCCCUGUUUGCAUGCAUCACGGAAGCAAGGAAGAAUCCUACCGAUUUUUUGCAAUCUGCUGUCAUUAAUGAGCAUACUGAGGACAAUCACCAUGCAGAGUCGACCCUUUCCAAUCAGAAGAAGACAACUAAUGGUAAUACAUUGAAGGAUUUUGAGUAUCAUGGCACUGACGCUAAGUCUAAGGAGGGGAAACUUCUUAUAAAGACUUUGAGUCGAAGCCUGGCUCCAUUUUGUUCCUUUAUCAUGGCAACGACGCUAAGUCUAAAGAGGAGAAGCCUCUUAUGAAAGACUUUGAGUCAAAGCCUGGCUCCAUUUUGUUCCUUUAUCAUGGCAACGACGCUAAGUCUAAAGAGGAGAAGCCUCUUAUGAAAGACUUUGAGUCAAAGCCUGGCUCCAUUUUGUUACUUUAUCAUGGCAACGACGCUAAGUCUAAAGAGGAGAAGCCUCUUAUCAAAGACUUUGAGUCAAAGCCUGAUCCAUCUAAAGACGUUAAGUCUGAGGAGGAGAAACCACUCGUGAAAGAUAAUUAAUGUCCAGGGAAGCCGCAACUUUACCUCUGAAUGGACUACGGACAUACAUCUCUUCUAGCUGGUCUGUUUUUCUCCAUUUCUUUAUUGGCGUGAAAAUGUGUGAUAUGUAAUAAAUGCAGUUCUUCUUUCAACCAAGCGUUCCGUAUAAUUAAUUAAAUGAAAGUCAGUAGCGUUGAGUGCAUUUUCUA